rnacentral:rRNA from 1 species
CCUGGUUGAUCCUGCCAGUAGCAUAGCUGUCUCAAAGAUUAAGCCAUGGCAGCUAAUACAACGGGCCGUACAGUGAGACUGCGAAUGCUCAUAUAAAUCAGUUAUGUUCCUUGGUCCUCCACCCCGACUUGGCUAACUGUGGUAAAUUCUAUGAGCUAAUACAUGCCGACGAGAGCGCUGACCGUCGGGGGAUCGUGCAUUUAUCAGACCAAACCAACCCGGCUCGCCCGCGCUUUGGGACUCUAGAUUAACCUCGGGCCUAUCGCAACGCCCGUGCGGCGACGAAAACUUUCCAAAUUUGCUGCCUAUCAACGUCGAGGUAAUGCCCUGUGAUCUAAGCCAGUGGUGACACGGGUAACGGGAAUCAGGUUCGAUUCCGGAGAGGAGCCUGAGAAACGGACCACAUCCAAGGACAGCAGCAGAGCCGCGCAAUUACCCACUCCCGACCGGGAGGUAGUGACGAAAAAUAACAAUACAGGACUGCCUGUCGAGGCCUGUAAUUGGAAUGAGUACACUUUAAAUCCUUUAACGAGGACAUUGGAGGGCAAGUCUGGUGCCAGGCAGCCGCGGUAUCCAGCUCCAAUGGCGUAUAUUAAGUUGCUGCAGUAAAGCUGUAGUUGGUCUUGGGAUCGAGCGCGUCCGCCGCAGAGCGACUACCCCGUCCACCCCUGCCUUCGGCCGCCCUUGAGCUCUAAACGUAGUGUCCUGGGGUCCGAACGUUUACUUUUGAAAAAAUUAGAGUGUUUCAAAGCAAGGCUGGUCGUCCGAAUACUCCAGCUAGAAUAAUGGAAUAGGACUCCGGUUCUAUUUUGUUGGUUUUCGGGAACUGGGCCAAUGAUAAGAGGACGGCACGGGGGGCAUUCGUAGUGCCGCUAGAGGUGAAAAUUUUGACCGGCGCAACGACACAAGCUAAACAUUUGCAAGAUGUUUUCUUUAGAUUCAAGACGAAAGUCGGAGUUCGAGACGAUCAGUACCGUCGGUAUUUCCCGACCAUAAACGAUGCGACUGGCGAUUCCGGCGGUUUCGGUAUUCCAUGACCCGCCAGGAGCUUCCGGGAAACCAAAGUCUUUGGGUUCCGGGGGAGUAUGGUUUGCAAAAAGCUGAAACUUAAGGAAAUUGACGAAGGCACCACCGGAGUGGAGCCUGCGGCUUUAAAUUUGACUCAACACGCGGAAACCUCAGACACACGCGCCCGUGACACGGAAAGAUGGGACAGUAUUGAUAGUCUUUCGAUUCGUGGGUGGUGGUGCAUGGCCAUGUUCUUAGUUGGUGGAGCAUUUUGUCUGGUAAGUCCGAUAACGAACGAGGACUCUGGCUGCUAACUAGUUACGCGAUCCGACCCGAGCGGUCGGCGUCCAGACUUCUCUAGAAGUACAAGUGCCGUUCAGCCACCCGAGAUGAGCAAUAACAAGGUACUGUGAUCCCUGAAUGUCGGGCUGCACGCGCGCUACAACUGACUGGCUCAGCGUUGUCUACCCUAACGCCGACAGGUCGGGUAAUCCGAUUGAACCCCAUUACGUGAUGGAUCGGGAUUGCACUAUUCCCCUUAUAACGAGAAUUCCCAGUAAUGCGGGUCAUAAAGCCGCGUUGAUUAGGUCCUGCCCUUUACACACCGCCCGUUCGCUACUUACCGUAUUGGGAUGGUUUAGUGAGGUCCUGAUCGCCGCCGGCGUCGUCACCGCCCCUGGUGGACGCCCGAGAAGACGGUCGACACUUACUAUCUAGAGGAAGUAAAAGUCGUAACCAAGUUCCGUAGGUAACCUGCAGGAA